rfam:Sistotremastrum niveocremeum HHB9708 unplaced genomic scaffold SISNIscaffold_43, whole genome shotgun sequence.
GUCACUUUGCCGGAGUGGUUAACGGGUUCGCCUGCUAUUCGUGGUCAGCGGAUGUGCUCUGCACGCGUGUGUUCGAAUCGCACAGGUGACG